GACGAACGCUGGCGGCGUGCCUAAUACAUGCAAGUCGAACGCACAGUUUAUACCGUAGCUUGCUACACCAUAGACUGUGAGUUGCGAACGGGUGAGUAACGCGUAGGUAACCUGCCUGGUAGCGGGGGAUAACUAUUGGAAACGUUAGCUAAUACCGCAUAAUAUUCAUUAUUGCAUGAUAAUUAAUUGAAUGGUGCAAUUGCACCACUACCAGAUGGACCUGCGUUGUAUUAGCUAGUAGGUGAGGUAACGGCUCAACUAGGCGACGAUACAUAGCCGAACUGGGGAGGUGGUCCGCCAACCUUGGAACGGGGCACGGGCCAGACUCCUACGGGGAGGAGCAAGAGGGGAACUUCGGGAAUGGACGAAAGGCUGACCGGGCAACGCCGGGGGAGGGGAGGAGGGUCUCGGGUCGGAAAGCUCGGUUGUAAGGGAAGGACGGGUGGUGGAGUGGAAAGUGCACGCUGUGACGGUAUCUUACCAGAAAGGGACGGCUAACUACGUG
rnacentral:rRNA from 1 species